GCUUUAGAAAGAUAACAGACAUCUAUU
rnacentral:tRNA from 1 species